CCCUCGAUAGCUCAGUUGGCAGAGAGGAGGACUGUAGAUGUUACAAGACUGUAGCUGGUUCAAAUCCGGCUCGAGGGA